AUUAACUCAAAAUUUUUAAAUCUUUCAUCAGAAGUUAAAACCCUUGCCCAGUAGGGUUUUAUUUUAUUUUUCACCAAUUUCAAAUCCCAUCUCAUUUUGAUUCAGAGAUUUCCCCAUAAGAUAAUUAAUGGAAGAAGCAAAGGAAAGAGAGAAACUGACGCUGGUGACCCGAAAAUCCUGUUUCGGAUUACCCACUUCUUGCCCAAACUGUUUGUCCGUUUACGCUUACCUCAAAUUCUCCAACACUCUAUUUGAUUUGGAUUUCAAUCUCAUUAACCCUGAUUCUGAUCAAAUACCUUAUGUCGAAUACGGUACAUACGUAGCCUACAACAAUGAGAAAGGUGGAGUAAUACGCAGUUUAAUCGAAGAUGGUUUCGUGGAUUUGGAUUCUCAAGUUCGUGGUAUACCUGAAUGGAUAUCAGCAAAGGCUAUGGUUGAUUCAUGGCUUGCAGAUGCCAUCAUUUAUGAACUUUGGGUGGGUUCUGAUGGAACUUCUGCACACAAGAUCUAUUAUUCAGAUCUCCCGUGGCCACUUGGAAAAAUCUUGUACUUGAAGCAAGUUCAUGUGGUGAAACAAAUUCUUGGUAUUACAAAAGAGAAUGCUGAAAGAAGAGAGGAAGAGAUUUACAGGAAUGCCAAUGAUGCCUUUAGUGCUUUAUCAACUAGAUUAGGGGAGCAAGCCUAUUUCUUCGACAACAGGCCAACAAGUUUGGAUGCAGUUCUCGUCGGACAUGCACUUUUUACACUAUAUGCAUUGCCAGAAACUUCAGUUCUCCGAAGCAAGCUGUUGGAACAUGAUAAUCUUGUAAGAUACACGGAGAAGUAUAAAAGUGAACUGGUAGAUUCUAGCACACCAUCUUCCGGUACACAAUCUCAGUGUGAUCCUUCUUCGUCGGUGCCGAGGCGUCCUUCACAAUGGAGGGUGGUGUUUGUGUGAGGGAUAAGAACAUUCAAUCCCAAUACUCGGUUUUACUUAUGCAACGGUUAGUUUCUGGUAUAAAAUCUUUGUUUUGUACUAUAAUUUCUGCAUAAGUAAUGUAACUAUGAAAACAAAGUGUAACUUGGGCGGAAGUCAACAUCAAAAGGUAGCUCAUGAGGUGAGGAUUGUCCAAAAUUGUAAAAGGAGACAAUAGUCAAGUCACUCCAACAAUGUGCGACACUUAAACACUCCUGUACGAACGUUGUCAUUUGGAGCAUGAAUAACAUAACCCCGGAGCCAACAUUGAGAACCAAGAGUUGGAUGGAUUUGGUUCUGAGUUCAUGUCAAUAAUCUUGGGUAGCUUAUGAGAAACCAGACGCUGAACUAUUAAUACUGGUUCAAAACCCAAAAGCAAGCCUAAGAGG